rnacentral:rRNA from 1 species
AUUGAACGCUGGCGGCAGGCCUAACACAUGCAAGUCGAACGAAGUCUUCGGACUUAGUGGCGGACGGGUGAGUAACGCGUGGGAACGUACCUUUUGGUUCGGAACAACUCAGGGAAACUUGAGCUAAUACCGAAUGUGCCCUUCGGGGGGAAGGAUUUAUCGCCAUUAGAGCGGCCCGCGUUAGAUUAGCUAGUUGGUGG